rnacentral:tRNA from 2 species
GCGGGAGUGGUGGAAUUGGCAGACACGCAGGUCUUAGGAACCUGUGUCUUCGGACGUAGGGGUUCAAGUCCCCUCUCCCGCACCA